rnacentral:rRNA from 1 species
GACGAACGCUGGCGGCGUGCUUAACACAUGCAAGUCGAACGGAAAGGCCCUGCUUUUGUGGGGUGCUCGAGUGGCGAACGGGUGAGUAACACGUGAGUAACCUGCCCUUGACUUUGGGAUAACUUCAGGAAACUGGGGCUAAUACCGGAUAGGAGCUCCUGCUGCAUGGUGGGGGUUGGAAAGUUUCGGCGGUUGGGGAUGGACUCGCGGCUUAUCAGCUUGUUGGUGGGGUAGUGGCUUACCAAGGCUUUGACGGGUAGCCGGCCUGAGAGGGUGACCGGCCACAUUGGGACUGAGAUACGGCCCAGACUCCUACGGGAGGCAGCAGUGGGGAAUAUUGCACAAUGGGCGGAAGCCUGAUGCAGCAACACCGCGUGCGGGAUGACGGCCUUCGGGUUGUAAACCGCUUUCGCCUGUGACGAAGCGUGAGUGACGGUAAUGGGUAAAGAGGCACCGGCUAACUACGUG